rnacentral:RNase_P_RNA from 1 species
AGUGGGCCAGGCGACCGCGGGGCGUCCCUGUGACGUCAUGAGGAAAGUCCGGGCUCCACAGGGCAGGAAGCAGGUUAACGGCCUGGCGGGGUGACCCGACGGAAAGCGCCGCAGAAAAGAAGACUCCCGCUGCCCGCCUCGGCGGGUGAGAGAAAAGCUGAAACGGUGGUGUAAGAGACCACCAGCAUCCUGGCAACAGGGUGGCUUGGCAAGCCCCUUCCGGAGCAAACGCAUAUAGGAGCGCCAUGGUGUGGCCCGCACUGCGCUCGGGUAGCGCGCUAGAGGGCGCUGGAGACAGCGUCAGUAGAUAAAUGGCCGCCCACGACAGAACCCGGCUUAUCGGCCCGCUUC